rnacentral:rRNA from 1 species
UACGUAGGGGGCAAGCGUUGUCCGGAUUUAUUGGGCGUAAAGAGCGUGUAGGCGGCUAGAUAGGUCCGUUGUGAAAACUCGAGGCUCAACCUCGAGACGUCGAUGGAAACCAUCUGGCUAGAGUCCGGGAGAGGAGAGUGGAAUUCCUGGUGUAGCGGUGAAAUGCGCAGAUAUCAGGAAGAACACCCGUGGCGAAAGCGGCUCUCUGGAACGGUACUGACGCUGAGACGCGAAAGCGUGGGGAGCGAACAGG